rnacentral:rRNA from 1 species
GAUGAUCGCUGGCGGCGUGCCUAAUACAUGCAAGUCGAGCGAACAGACGAGGAGCUUGCUCCUCUGACGUUAGCGGCGGACGGGUGAGUAACACGUGGAUAACCUACCUAUAAGACUGGGAUAACUUCGGGAAACCGGAGCUAAUACCGGAUAAUAUAUUGAACCGCAUGGUUCAAUAGUGAAAGACGGUUUUGCUGUCACUUAUAGAUGGAUCCGCGCCGCAUUAGCUAGUUGGUAAGGUAACGCCUUACCAAGGCAACGAUGCGUAGCCGACCUGAGAGGGUGAUCGGCCACACUGGAACUGAGACACGGUCCAGACUCCUACGGGAGGCAGCAGUAGGGAAUCUUGCGCAAUGGGCGAAAGCCUGACGGAGCAACGCCGCGUGAGUGAUGAAGUUCUUCGGAUCGUAAAACUCUGUUAUGAGGGAAGAACAAAUGUGUAAGUAACUAUGCACGUCUUGACGGUACCUAAUCAGAAAGCCACGGCUAACUACGUG